CAAUUUUUAAUUAUCUUUUUAAAGCAUUUAUACGUUUCAUGAAUAAUUUACCGAAUAUUUACAGUAUGGCUAUAUGACGCCUAUAAGAGAUGCAGCAGCGACACAGACUGCUACGGCGGCAAAACUAUGUGCUGCGUGCCCAAUCGUUAUGGUAGAUGGUACUGCCGUUCUCGUGGACGCCAAUACUCUAUUUGUUCCAUAAGUGGAAGCGCCAAUCGAUGUCCUUGUAGAGAAGGUUUGGAAUGCAUCAGUGCUCGUGGCAACCAGUGGUUUGGCGGCCUCGCUGCUAUUCUCGUCAACCCAGAUAGCGGUCUGUGCAACACGAUUAAGGUGACCACUGGCGGGUCUGGCGAAUCCGGCGACGGUGACCUUUGAAUCAUGUGACUUUCUGGGAUCAAGGUCAAGUUUAGGACCAAUGAUUGCGCCUAUAGCUAGCCUCUGGACAACGCCCCAAUUUGUGUAUGUAUCAUCAAAGGGACUGCUGUUUAAGCAACUUAUCUAUAUUUUAUGAAUAUCUUUCAUCGAUGAUAGUGAUAGUUUUUUCCCAAUAAAAUUGCAAACGAGGACUAAUGUGUUGGGACUAUGUUGAGUUGUUUUAUGAAUUCAUCUUAAACAGUGCAACACAAAGACUUUAGAAAUAUGGAAUUCGAAUAUACAAUGCAUAGGGAAGUUUGCAUAAAUGAAAAAAAGGUCUAUUUCAUUUUUACCAAUGUUUCAUGAAGGUUUUAAUUUUUUUGAACAGAACAGUGCACUCCAACCGUGAGAUUGUUUCGGUGUUUUUUUUUUUCUUUGUACAUUUUUCAGACUGACAUGGCGUGAAUUUGCACCGCUUUUAUAAUUUAU